rnacentral:tRNA from 1 species
GCGAUCGUGGUCUGGCUGGCGAGCCCGCCCGCGGCGAACGGGCCGGCGUAGGCCGGGUUCGGCACCUGCUGGUCGCCC